ensembl:snRNA U6 U6 spliceosomal RNA
GUCCUUGUUUUUGCAGUACAUAAAGUAAAACUAGGAUGAACAGAAAAGAUUAGCAUGGUCCCUACACAAGCACAACUCACAACAUCAUGGUAUGUUCUAUAUUUUA